rnacentral:rRNA from 1 species
CCUACGGGGGGCAGCAGUCGAGAAUCAUUCACAAUGGGGGAAACCCUGAUGGUGCGACGCCGCGUGGGGGAAUGAAGGUCUUCGGAUUGUAAACCCCUGUCAUGUGGGAGCAAAUUAAAAAGAUAGUACCACAAGAGGAAGAGACGGCUAACUCUGUGCCAGCAGCCGCGGUAAUACAGAGGUCUCAAGCGUUGUUCGGAAUCACUGGGCGUAAAGCGUGCGUAGGCUGUUUCGUAAGUCGUGUGUGAAAGGCGCGGGCUCAACCCGCGGACGGCACAUGAUACUGCGAGACUAGAGUAAGGGAGGGGGAACCGGAAUUCUCGGUGUAGCAGUGAAAUGCGUAGAUAUCGAGAGGAACACUCGUGGCGAAGGCGGGUUCCUGGACAGUAACUGACGCUGAGGCACGAAGGCCAGGGGAGCGAAAGGGAUUAGAUACCCCUGUAGUC